AAAAGCUCGUAGUUGGAUUCCUGCUCUGGACGUAGGGGGCCGCUAACGCGGUCCACCAUGCGCACCCGGCAUUCUGCCCGCCGCUCCCGAGAUCGUUGUCAAAGGCGGCUCGGGGUGGAUGGCGGAGAUCGCUUUGCAAAAAUUAGAGUGCUCUAGGCGGGCCACUAAGCUCGAAUAGUAAUGCACGGUACGAUGAAACAUGACUUUGGCUCUUAUUCGGUUGGGGCACGGAGACCGAGGUAAUGAUUAAUAGGAGCAGACGGGGGCAUUCGUAUUCCGACGCUAGAGGUGAAAUUCUUGGACCGUCGGAAGACGCACCACUGCGAAAGCAUUUGCCAAGAAUGUUUCCGUUGACCAAGAACGAAAGUGUGGGGCUCAAAGAAGAUUAGAUACCUUUGUAGUCUUGUACCCUAAACGAUACCCUCCAGCGAUCCGGCUGCGUACGAACGUGACGCGCCGGGCAGCUCUUCCGGGGAAACCAGAGUUCCGGCUCCGGGGGAAGUAUGGUUGCAAAGCUGAAACUUAAAGGAAUUGACGGAGGGGCACUACCAGGAGUGGAGCCUACGGCUUAAUUUGACUCAACACGGGAAAACUUACCCGGCCCGGACGUGUUAUCGGUUGAACAGACUGACGGCUCUUUUUAGAGUUUGUGGAUGGUGGUGCAUGGCCGCAGUUGGUUCGUGGGGUGACCUGUCUGGUUAAUUCCGAUAAACGGACGAGAUUCUUGCUUACUAAAUACGCUCGAUYCUUUAUCAAUGAAGAGAUGAGCUUCUUAGAAGGACCGUCGGCUUCGAAGCCGUACGAAAAGGAGCGAUUGCAGGUCUGUGAUGCCCUAAGAUGUCCGGGGCCGCACGUGCGCUACAGUAGAGCGGACAACGUGCUUCUUUGUUCCUUGGCCUGUCGGCCUAGGUAACCAGAGCAGUCUGUCUCAGUGCUGGGGACAGGGGAUUGUAAUUGUUCCCCUCCAACGAGGAAUUCCUAGUAGGCGCGAGUCAUUAACUCGUGCCGACUAAGUCACUGCCCUUUGUACACACUGCCCGUCGCUAUCUCCGAUCGAGCGGUGGAGUGAGGUCUUCGGACGAGCUCGCUGGUCCUUCCUCGUCGGAGGACCGGGUGUGGCACGGAAAAAGACCGAACUUGGCCGUUUAGAGGAGGUAAAAGUCGUAACAAGGUUUC
rnacentral:rRNA from 1 species